CAAACUAUUAAAUUAAAUUCCAGCUCAGAAUUACAAACCUGACUUCGAAAAUAACAUUGUAAUUCAGAUUUUUUGCUUUGAAGUUUAAAUUCCUAGUCGUAUGAGUCAAAUUGAAUUGAAUUUACUUGAAAAUGCCCCAAUGCCGCCAUCUGGUGGUAGAAACGGACAGUGUAAAUUUUAACGUCCUUUCAUGACGGCGUGGACUAUGGCCUUGGCUCCUCCAAUGACAUUCAUAGCCCCGCCCUCUAUACAAAAUUCACCAAUUACAUACCUGAUCCCACCCUCUAGAAGAUCCCAACCAAUGACGAACGUGGCCCCGCCCUCUAUACAAGCCCAACCAAUGACAGACUUAGCCCUGCCCUUUUCCGGCUGUCUGACGGUCCCGCGAAUUUUAUGCCGCGGUGGCAUUUUCUUUUCGUUUCGGUUAUUGAGGACGCGUGCUCGCUUUCGUACAGGAUUAUGUUUUUUUUGCUAUCGUUAAACCUAACGAUAUAGGAUAUUUAAUAAGAGUUUUUAAAAUUAAAUCAGGCACGGGUUAAUUCCCCCCCCCAUUGUGUUCUUUGUAAGGGGGGGCGGGAAACAGGAUGCACGAGCCACGUGCACACAUUUCAGUAAUUAGCUGGAGAGAAGAUGAGGAUGAGCACCAUGUGCUGGCUGAGGUAGUGCUUUGUGCUGUUGGUCGGGUCGCUCCUCUGCCCGCUGAUGGAGAUGACGGCGCAAAACACUGCCUUGCUAGAGCUGGUGAUGAACCGCAUAUAAUCUACAAGACCUACACACCAGAUUUACAAGAUUUACACACCAGUCAUUUAUGUUUUUAUAACUCAAAUUCAAACCUGGGCUUUAUUUUAAAUAAAUAAAUGUGAUCCCACAUC